UAGGGAAUCUUCCGCAAUGGGCGAAAGCCUGACGGAGCAACGCCGCGUGAGUGAUGAAGGUCUUCGGAUCGUAAAACUCUGUUAUUAGGGAAGAACAAAUGUGUAAGUAACUAUGCACGUCUUGACGGUACCUAAUCAGAAAGCCACGGCUAACUACGUGCCAGCAGCCGCGGUAAUACGUAGGUGGCAAGCGUUAUCCGGAAUUAUUGGGCGUAAAGCGCGCGUAGGCGGUUUUUUAAGUCUGACGUGAAAGCCCACGGCUCAACCGUGGAGGGUCAUUGGAAACUGGAAAACUUGAGUGCAGAAGAGGAAAGUGGAAUUCCAUGUGUAGCGGUGAAAUGCGCAGAGAUAUGGAGGAACACCAGUGGCGAAGGCGACUUUCUGGUCUGUAACUGACGCUGAUGUGCGAAAGCGUGGGGAUCAAACAGG
rnacentral:rRNA from 1 species